rnacentral:snRNA from 2 species
UUACCUUUCUCAGCCUUUUCGCUAAGAUCAAGUACUGAACUGUUCUUAUCAGUUUAAUAUCUGAUCAAGUACUAAUCUGUUCUUAUCAGUUUAAUAUUUGAUACGUGGGGUCUCACCCCACAUGAUAUUGACUCAAUUUUUCUUGAGGGAAGGUUCAUCAAGGUAGCUUGAUACCUGGGACUUCACGCAUUGCCCCAAAUCGUUGCCCUACAGUCCAGGCCUGAUGUACCCCAC